AUUGAACGCUGGCGGCAGGCCUAACACAUGCAAGUCGAGCGAGCGGCGGACGGGUGUGUAAUGUAUGGGGACUGCCCGAUAUAGGGGGAUAACCAUUGGAAACGGCGGCUAAUAUCGCAUACUCUCGUAUAACCCAUAUGUGAUUUGCUCGUGGGUUAGGUAAUGGCUUACCUAGGCGACGAUCCCUAGCUGGUCUGAGAGGAUGAUCAGCCACACUGGGACUGAGAAACGGCCCAGACUCCUACGGAGGCAGCAGUGGGGAAUAUUGCACAAUGGGCGCAAGCCUGAUGCAGCCAUGCCGCGUGUAUGAAGAAGGCCCUAGGGUUGUAAAGUACUUUCAGUCGGGAAGCGUUACCGGCAGAAGAAGCACCGGCUAACUCCGUGCCAGCAGCCGCGGUAAUUC
rnacentral:rRNA from 1 species